UAACAUCCUCCUCUCCUUUCUCAUUCCCUCUCUAUCCUCUCUUUUCUUUUCCUGGUUUCUAGGUGUUUCCGUCAAUGGAUUCCAACACAGUCUUCUUCUCUUCAAAAUUCCAAACCCCAACUCUCCCACCUUCUUCUCCAUUGCUCUCUUCCACUAACCUCCCCCUAAUCAGCCGACAAUUCCUUGGUUUCAGUCACACUCUCAAGCCUCCCGGCGGUGCUUCUUCCCUCAGAAAGAAACACAAAAACUUGGGGUUUCUGCGCCUCCACUCUCCUCGCUUUAUCCUCAGACCUUCUAUCGACUCCAAUUUGGUCCCCGUUGUCGUUGGUGUUACCGCGCAUUAUCGGCUUUAUAAGUCUACAAGCACUUAUUAGAGCUAAUAUCUUUACUCUACUUUUUUCCAGGUGAAGUCGUGAAAAAGAAGCCACAAGCUUGUUUCUGUUGAAAGAUAUCCCCAAUACGCAGAAGCUCUUUUUAGUUGUGUGGAGACUCGAGUGGAUUGGUGAAUGAAGCCUAAGACUCUACUUGUAUUGAUAUGUUUAUGUUGUAGAAGUAUUGACUCCUUGUUUAUGACUAGUAUUGAUUUGUUAUGCUGUGGAGUAUCAACUCUUGGUUUAUGAGCUCCUUGCGGUUUGGCAAAUAAGAGGUAAAAAUCCAUCCAUCCGUCCCAUGGGUCUAUGUAUAACAGCCGGCUGCUUGUUCUUUCUAGCAAUACAUCCAUCCAAAUAGAUUGCUAUUGCGGGGCUAAAAAUCCAUGGCUCGUUAAACUAAGGAGUGGUAAGGAUUGGGCCGAAUAUGUCGGUUACAGAAUUUUUAUAUUAUGGGGACCCAACCCAAUCGAAAUCAAAAAGUGAAAUGGGCACCGGCAAUGCCUUCCUAGUUCAGCCCAUUUGUCUGCUAGCCGUCUCGAAAGCUUUCAAAAUUCUCCACUUAUACCGUGAAUUUUCUACUAACCCAAUUCAUCAGAAAAUCCCAUUUAUUCCAUAGUUUUUAAUUCCUUCCCUGACUGUCAAUUUGACGUAAGCUUCAAUAUUAGAGUUUUUAAGUUCAGUUUUGUGUUUCCAUUUCUCUUUUAUUUUCUUUUCUUUCCCAAUUGGAAUUAUUUCAAAUUAUUAUCAUUUUUUUUCAGAAUUUAAAUUAUUAUUAUCAUUUAUGAUUCAAAGUGUUUGGUUCGAUCAUCCUUGUUCUGAUGUCUGUGUGUUUAUUCAUUUGUCUUGCAUAAUUUUUUUUUCUAUUAAGGUAGUGAUCUAUGUUGAUCUUUCUUUCUUAUUAUUUAAUCAUUUAUAAUCGUAAUUUGUUGAGAUUAUUCUAAUAUUAAAUUUUACUAAGGCCUUUUCCUCUUCAAGUUUCUCAAGAAAAAUUUUACAUCAGAAAUUGAUUUUAUAAUUUCCAUUCCUUUUCAAAAACAAAAAGACUAUUUAUCACGUCAACAUUAACACAAUCCGUUUAUGUAUUAAUUGAAACAAAGCAUGUCUUUUUAACUUUGACUAUUUUCUUCUUUUUUGAGUGUUUUUUUUUUUUUCAUUUUUGGAGUGAGGUUUAAGUGUGGACUAUUAUAAGAUGACGUGAAUUGAUCUUUUAAGUCCCCUCUCUACAAUUAACCAUAUCUCAAUGAGACAAGAUUGUAAAGGAGUAAAUGCGCAUAAACUGAAAUUAAAUAUUUACCCAAACAAAAAAGAAAGCUAGAUUAAGUCAAGUUUAACUAUCCAUUGUACAUUUCUUAGAGUAAUGAAACCAAAAUUAAAGAAAAAUAGGAGUGGAUGAAAAUGAACUUCUACUUUUUCCCUCAUAAAGAGGUAGUUGGUUUCUUCAGUGAACAACCUUUACUUUUUUCUAUAUUCCCAUUCUUUACGUAAACGACAGGGGGUGGGAAGAGAGAAUGAACGGAUUCCUUCGAAUAUUAUUUUUCUUGUUCUAUUGACUCAUUUCACAGGAUAAAGGUCAUCAAUUAAUUAUAGCCCACGUCCCUUCAAUCUUGCAUGCAACUUAAUCGAUCAAAGCAAUGGAGCCAAUGUAUUUUUCUCUUACCGCCAGCUGAUCAUUGCUUCUAAUGGUAGUUUAAGAAUUUAUUCCUCAAGGAAUUUUGGACAAAGCUCACUUUUGUUAAGGAAUCGCUGCUUAGACCGUUCCACAAGCAAUAAUAUUAUUCUAAAGUUGCAAUUGAGAAAUCUAAUAAUGGUAAUCGCAGUUAUAAAUGGAAGAAAAAAAAUCACAGAGAUUUCACCAACCUUUCUUUGUUGAGAGAAAAAAAGAGCAUAACAUAUGGCGGAAUCUGUUGUGUCCAAUGUUGCAGCAAGACUUGGAGACUUAGUAAUUCAAGAAGCUAAAUUCUUGCGGGGCGUGUAUGGUCAAGUUAAGCUUUUGCAAAUGGAGCUACUUUGGAUGAAGAGCUUCUUAAAAGAGGCAGAUUCGAGACAAGCUGAGAAUGAGAUGAUUCGUAUGUGGGUUGCUGAUAUUAGAGAGAUUGCUUAUGAUGCUGAGGAUGUCAUUGAAACUUUUGCUCUCAAAAUUGCAUCCAGAAGGAGGGGAGGUAUUUCAAAUUUCAUUAAAAGAUCUGCCUGCAUCUUCAAAGAAGGAUGGAUGCUCCACAAGGUCAAGUCAGACAUUGAAGGAAUCAUAAGCAGAAUCUCUUACUUGAGUCAACGGUUACAGGUCUAUGGCAUAAAACAACUAACAGAUGGAGCAAGCUCAAGUGCUUCAUCCAGGAGGCAACAGUUAAGGCAGUCUUAUCCUCGUAUGGUGGAAACCAAUGUUGUUGGGUUGGAUAAUGACAUAAAAAAAUUGGUCUCGGUUCUUGUAGACAACGAAAGUUACAGAGUUGUUUCCAUAUGUGGCAUGGGUGGUCUGGGAAAGACUACUCUGGCUAAGAAGGUUUACCAUCAUCCUCAAGUAAGAGAUCAUUUCAAGUACUUUGUUUGGGCGUACAUUUCUCAGCAAUGCGAGGAAAGAACCGUGUGGGAAGGAAUUUUAUCCAGCCUAAAUCCUAAAUAUGAGAAGGGUGGGAUAUUGCCCAAAUUGGGCGAUCAAGAUCUGGCUAAAAACUUGUAUGAAUUCCUGAAAGAAAACAAAUGCCUAGUGGUACUCGAUGACAUUUGGAAAGCUGAAGAUUGGGAUGCUAUUAAGCCUGCCUUCCCAAUGGAGGAGGAGACAGGUAGCAAAAUACUGCUCACCUCUCGUAACAAGGAUGUAGCUUGGCACGCGGAUCCAAGAGGUUUCCUGCACGAACUACAGCUCUUAACAGAUGAAGACGGUUGGAAAUUGUUCCAACAUAUAUGUGAUUCUGCAGGUAAUAUAUAUCUUAGCUCACUUUAUAAUUUUAAAUUUUGGGUCAAAUAUGUGCAUUUCAUUCUCAUUUCAUAUUAAUUUUUUACAAUGUAAAGAAAAAAGAAAUGUAUCAUUUUAAUUUGUAUAGCAUAUGCACUCUCGAAAUGCCCCAACAUUCAAUUUUUCUCAAGAUGUUAUUAUUAGUUCUAGCCAUACUUAUGAGAUUUCUAUUGAUCUAUAGAUGUAUACCUUUAUUUUUUGUUCUUUCUUGUAAAACUUCUCUUCAAGAUUUCUUUAAGCAAUUUCUGCAAAGUAAAAAUACCCAAUAUUCUUCUAUAAGAAAAACAAAAAGAAAUAUUUUAUUGUUAUUUUUUUGGCAACAUAUAUUAAUUAGGAUGUUUGUUUAUUUCUGGGCUAUAUAUGAUGACUUUUAUUGCUAGUUUAAGUUUUUGCUAUAGUAUGUUAAUUUGAGAUUGUAUAUAUCAAUAUAGUUUUCUUGUUCCCUGUUUUUUGCCAGACUAUGUAAUUGAGGAAAAAAUGGAAGAGUUGGGGAAGGACAUGGUUAAACAGUGUGCUGGGUUGCCAUUAGCCAUUGUUGUUCUAGGAGGAGUUUUGGUUACAAAGCAUUCAUUAAAUGAUUGGCAAAUAGUGCAGGAAAAUUUGAAGUCAUACUUAAGGAAAGAUAGAAGUAAAAAAAAACGGAAAGAUGGAGGUUGGGGAAUCCAUGAAGCAAUAGCUUUAAGUUAUGGCAAUUUGCCACCCUAUUUAAAACCAUGCUUCUUGUAUUUGAGUGUUUUCCCGGAAGAUUACGAGAUUUCUGUUGGUAAAUUGGUCAAAUUAUGGGUGGCAGAAGAUAUUGUGCCAUUAGAAGAAAGUGAAGAAGAUGGAGAAGAAAUGAUGGAAGAUGUGGCAGAAGGUUACUUAAAUGAGCUUGUAGAAAGAUACAUGGUGCUAGUGGGAAAACGAGAUGCAAACUCAAAGAUCAAAACAUGCCGGAUGCAUGAUCUUAUCAGAGAUUUCUGCUUGUUGAAAGCAAAACAAGAAAAUUUCAUUUGCGUUCUUGAUUGUCUUCAAAUGGAGCAAGCUGAUGUCAGCAGCUUGUCCCCUCCAAUUGGUAAAUUUCGCAGGAUUGGCAUUAAUGAUUUGAAUCUGAUAAAUGGGAUUACAAACCCACAUCUCCGAUCUGCAUUGUUCUUUGAUCAAAACUUUUUGGGAGAGUUUAAGGAAAGGUCUUAUGUCAUCAAAUGGCUGGUGAAAAUAGAAGAUAGCAUAAAUAGUACUAUUGUUAAGGGUACUUUGUUGGCAUUUUUAAUCCCUUUUUUAGUAUGUGAGUUAAGGCAUAAAACUCGAGGGUUAACGAGACACAUUUGCAACAAUUUCAAAUUGCUCAGAAUCCUAGAUUUUGCAGAUGCAGAUAUUCCACUUGUCUGCAUAUUAUUAAGUGAUAUAGGUAGUCUCAUCCAUUUGAGAUUUUUGAGUCUUGGGAACUGUGCUUUUGUGGCAAUGUUGCCUUCAUUUAUAAGCAAAUUAAGGUGCUUGCAAAGCUUGGAUCUAAGAGAUUGUAUUGGGGUUUAUGUACCUAAUGUUUUAUGGAAAUUGGAGCGGUUGAGACAUUUAUAUCUCCCUGAUCAGGUUUGUGCGAGAACCAAAUUGAAAUUGGAUACUUUGAAAAAUCUGCAAACGCUUGUGAAUUUCAACACCAAAAAUUGUUAUCUUAAAAAUAUUUGUUACAUGAAAUAUCUUAGAGAGUUGAUGAUAACUGUUCCUUUUAUUGUUGAAAACUUUAGAGAAGACUUGAAUUUGAAUCCACCGAUCAUCACAAGCAAGCAUCUUCGAUCCUUAUCCAUUUCAAAAAAUAAAAGUACAGAUCCAAGGCAUUUGACAUACCUGCUCUCUAGCUGCCUUAAUAUCCGUGAGUUGCAUUUAUCUGUCGAGAUAAGGAAGUUACCUCAGAACAUCCCUUCAAAUAUUGCUCACAUUUCCUUGGAUUGGGCUAGACUCAGUGAAGAUCCAUUGCCAACACUAGAAAAGCUACCUAAUCUAAGGAUUCUUGAAUUAGGACGAGAUGCGUUCCUCGGAGAGGUGAUGAUUUGUUCCGCCCAAGGUUUUCCUAUGCUCAACUCUUUGAGUAUUUUUUUGCAAGCAAAUUUAGAGGAGUUGAGGGUGAGUGAGGGAGCUAUGCCGAAUCUACACCAUCUGAUGAUUGCAAAUUGUAGAAACUUGAAGAUGCUGCCAAACGAGUUGAGGUUCAUCACAACCCUCAAAGAAUUGAAGAUCGAAAAGAUGCCAAAAACAUUCAAAGAUAAACUGGUUGAAGGAGGAGAAGAUUCAUACAAAGUCCAACAUGUGCCUUCUAUCAUAUUUCAAAAUUGUGAUUAUUGAAUUAUGAUCAUCAGGUAAUCUUUUAUUACCUAUUUCUAAGCUUAUUUUCUUUUGAAAUUAAAGAAUUGAAAUAGGAUUGAAUUAUGACCAUCAAAAUUUUUCUUUGGGUUAUUUUCUCGAGAAAAAUUUAUGUUAGAAAUUGAUAUUGUGAUUGAUUUCCAUUUUCUUAAGAAAAGAAAAGACAAUAUUUGCCACGUCAUCAACACUAUCCGUUGUGGUAUUAACUGAAACAGAACAUCGGUCAUUUCGUCACUUGAUAACCUCCUCCUCUCCUUUCUCAUUCCCACUCUAUCCUCUCUUUUCUUUUCCUGGUUUCUAUGUGCUUCCGUCAAUGGAUUCCAACACAAUCUUCUUCUCUUCAAAAUUCCAAACCCCAACUCUCCCACCUUCUUCUCCAUUGCGCUCUUGCACUAACCUCCCUCUAAUCAGCCGAUAAUUCCUUGGUUUCAAUCACUCUCUCAGGCCCCCAGGCGGUGGUUCUUCUCUCAGAAAGAAACACAAAAACUUGGGGUUUCUGCGCCUCCACUCUCCUCUCUUUAUCCUCAGAGCUUCUAUCGACUCCAAUUUGGUUCUCGUUGUCAUCGGUGUCACCGCAUUAUCGGCUUUAUAAGUCUGCAAGCACGCAUUAGAGCUAAUAUCUUUACUCUACUUGUUUCUAGGUG
rnacentral:lncRNA from 1 species